AUUGAACGCUGGCGGCAUGCCUUACACAUGCAAGUCGAACGGCAGCACGGGUGCUUGCCCCUGGUGGCGAGUGGCGAACGGGUGAGUAAUACAUCGGAACAUGUCCUGUAGUGGGGGAUAGCCCGGCGAAAGCCGGAUUAAUACCGCAUACGAUCUACGGAUGAAAGCGGGGGACCUUCGGGCCUCGCGCUAUAGGGUUGGCCGAUGGCUGAUUAGCUAGUUGGUGGGGUAAAGGCCUACCAAGGCGACGAUCAGUAGCUGGUCUGAGAGGACGACCAGCCACACUGGGACUGAGACACGGCCCAGACUCCUACGGGAGGCAGCAGUGGGGAAUUUUGGACAAUGGGCGAAAGCCUGAUCCAGCAAUGCCGCGUGUGUGAAGAAGGCCUUCGGGUUGUAAAGCACUUUUGCCCGGAAAGAAAUCCUUGGCUCUAAUACAGUCGGGGGAUGACGGUACCGGAAGAAUAAGCACCGGCUAACUACGUG
rnacentral:rRNA from 1 species